rnacentral:snRNA from 1 species
UUUGCCUUUGGAACGGGA